rnacentral:rRNA from 1 species
AUGGGGUGCAGCAGGGGCGAAACCUCCGCAAUGCGAGCGACCGCGACGGGGGGACCCCCAGUGCCGUGGCAUCGCCACGGCUUUUCCGGAGUGUAAAAAGCUCCGGGAAUAAGGGCUGGGCAAGGCCGGUGGCAGCCGCCGCGGUAAUACCGGCGGCCCAAGUGGUGGCCGCUAUUAUUGGGCCUAAAGCGUCCGUAGCCGGGCCCGUAAGUCCCUGGCGAAAUCCCACGGCUCAACCGUGGGGCUUGCUGGGGAUACUGCGGGCCUUGGGACCGGGAGAGGCCGGGGGUACCCCUGGGGUAGGGGUGAAAUCCUAUAAUCCCAGGGGGACCGCCAGUGGCGAAGGCGCCCGGCUGGAACGGGUCCGACGGUGAGGGACGAAGGCCAGGGGAGCGAACCGGAUUAGAUACCCGGGUAGUCCUGGCUGUAAAGGAUGCGGGCUAGGUGUCGGGCGAGCUUCGAGCUCGCCCGGUGCCGGAGGGAAGCCGUUAAGCCCGCCGCCUGGGGAGUACGGCCGCAAGGCUGAAACUUAAAGGAAUUGGCGGGGGAGCAC